GCACAAGCGGUGGAGUAUGUGGUUUAAUUCGAUGCAACGCGAAAACCUUUACCCACCUUUGACAUGGCAGGAAUCCCGAAGAGAUUUGGGAGUGCUCGAAAGAGAACCUGCACACAGGUGCUGCAUGGCUGUCGUCAGCUCGUGUCGUGAGAUGUUGGGUUAAGUCCCGCAACGAGCGCAACCCUUGUCAUUAGUUGCCAUCAUUUGGUUGGGCACUCUAAUGAGACUGCCGGUGACAAACCGGAGGAAGGUGGGGAUGACGUCAAGUCCUCAUGGCCCUUAUGGGUAGGGCUUCACACGUCAUACAAUGGUCGGUACAGAGGGUUGCCAACCCGCGAGGGGGAGCUAAUCCCACAAAGCCGAUCGUAGUCCGGAUCGCAGUCUGCAACUCGACUGCGUGAAGUCGGAAUCGCUAGUAAUCGUGGAUCAGCAUGUCACGGUGAAUACGUUCCCGGGUCUU
rnacentral:rRNA from 1 species